rnacentral:rRNA from 1 species
AUUGGGCGUUAAGUUGCAGGGUAUAGACCCGAAACCCGGUGAUCUAGCCAUGGGCAGGUUGAAGGUUGGGUAACACUAACUGGAGGACCGAACCGACUAAUGUUGAAAAAUUAGCGGAUGACCUGUGGCUGGGGGUGAAAGGCCAAUCAAACCGGGAGAUAGCUGGUUCUCCCCGAAAGCUAUUUAGGUAGCGCCUCGUGAACUCAUCUCCGGGGGUAGAGCACUGUUUCGGCUAGGGGGCCAUCCCGGCUUACCAACCCGAUGCAAACUGCGAAUACCGGAGAAUGUUAUCACGGGAGACACACGGCGGGUGCUAACGUCCGUCGUGAAGAGGGAAACAACCCAGACCGCCAGCUAAGGUCCCAAAGUCAUGGUUAAGUGGGAAACGAUGUGGGAAGGCCCAGACAGCCAGGAUGUUGGCUUAGAAGCAGCCAUCAUUUAAAGAAAGCGUAAUAGCUCACUGGUCGAGUCGGCCUGCGCGGAAGAUGUAACGGGGCUAAACCAUGCACCGAAGCUGCGGCAGCGACGCUGAUGCGUUGUUGGGUAGGGGAGCGUUCUGUAAGCCUGCGAAGGUGGCCUGUGAGGGUUGCUGGAGGUAUCAGAAGUGCGAAUGCUGACAUAAGUAACGAUAAAGCGGGUGAAAAGCCCGCUCGCCGGAAGACCAAGGGUUCCUGUCCAACGUUAAUCGGGGCAGGGUGAGUCGACCCCUAAGGCGAGGCCGAAAGGCGUAGUCGAUGGGAAACGGGUUAAUAUUCCCGUACUUGGUGUUACUGCGAAGGGGGGACGGAGAAGGCUAUGUUGGCCGGGCGACGGUU